UGAGUGCUCUGCCCAAUGCCCAUGAAGACUCGGGUUGUUUUCUCAAAUGCAUGUGCGAUCAGUGUUCUGUUGAAGACUCUGGAGGCCCCUCUACACAUCUCUGAAGCUCUAUCUGUACAACUCCUUCCUCCAAGGCUUUGGCCUAGUCCUAUGCAUUCCAGCCACGGUGAUCUCCCUGGACUUCAAUUCUGGAUACCUCUGGGCUCCGCCUGAGUUACCUUCCCCAUGCUGUGGCCUGAAAACUCAAGGCAGUAAACUAGAGCAAUAGUAAGUUUCACCUGGUUUGGUUCCUGUCUGUUAGAGAUUACUAGUCUUCAUUUCGAAAGUGAAGAUGAAAUAAACGUUUUUUCAGGCAAACAAAAGCAGAGAUAAUUCAUCACAAACAGGUCUUUAACAAAAAUGUGAAAGAAAGUUCUUCUGGCAGAAGAAAAAUUAUACGAGAUGGAAAUUAGAAUCUACACAAAGGAAUGAAGAGUGUCACAAAUGAUGUGGAACCCGAGGAUACAGAACACUGACUGUACACAAAAAAAGUCCCUACAAAUUGAUAGAAAACAACCCAAAAAUCCAGGAGGAAAAAACAGGCAGGGGAUAUGAACAAGCAACUCACAGAAGAGAAAAUGCAAAUAGCCGAUAAACAUAUUAAAAGAUGCUCAGCAUCACUGGUGGUCAGAUAAAUACAAAGUAAAACCACAAGAAGACACCAUUUACCACUUCAAAAUGUAAGAGAGCAAUAACAGUUAGUGCUGACUGGGAUGCAGGGGAACAGGCACUUCCUUCCACUAAGGGUGGGAAUGUGAUUAUGUCAGAAUUUUGAAAAAGUAAUCUGACAGUAUCUAUUAAUAUUAAAAUACAUAUAUUUCUAGAACAAGCAAUUCCACUUUGGGAAAUAUACCCUACAAAAAUAAAAGUACGAGUUCAUAUGUAUAUACCAGGAUAUUUUUGCAACAUUAUUUGUCCUGGUAAACAAUUCCCAGGGAAAAAAAAAGGAAUAUCUAAUAAUAAGCAUAGCUCAUAUAUAAUAUUAUGUAGCUAUUUAAAAGACUUUAUCUGAGACAAAAGGAAAAACUCUGUAACAUACAAAGAGGUCUCAGGAAUCAAUCUUGAAAAGAAUGAAUACUCCAAACUUUCUAAUGGGCAUAGGAUACUAACACAUAGUUCACAGAAAAAAAUUAAAUCCCCUUGAAGACUGGAAAACAUACUCAAUCUCCCUUAUAAUAAGAAAAAUGCAAAGUUAAAACUACCCUGAGAUACCAGUUUUCACCUAUCAUAUUGGCAAGGAAGAGAAAGUUUAAUGACUCGCCACGAUGGCAAGAGUGUGGGGAUUUGGGUCCCACCUUACUGGUGAACUAUAAAUGGCACAACCUCUCUGGAGAACAAUUGGACUAUAAGUGUCAAAACUGAAAUCAGCAAUGGACCUAGCAAGUCCCUUUCUAGAAAUGUAUCCCACAGAUAAAUAUACAUGUAUGCAAAGUGAUAUAAUUACAAGGUUAUUCAUUCCAACAUUGUUUGUAAAUGCCAGAGUAGGAAAAAAAACAGCUGAAUUUCCACUGGAAGUACAUUAAAUAUAUUUUGUAUUUCCAUAUAAUGGAAAGCUAGGCAGUCAUUUAAAAGAACGAAACCAAAUAAUAAUAAUAAUAAUAAUAACAAAGAAUGAGGCAGUUUUACAAACUGAUAAGGAACACUUUCCAAGAUAUAUUAUUAAGUGAAAAAAGCAAGAGAAAACAAUGUGAGAAGAAUUCUACCCAGAAUAGAACAGGUUUUCAGGCAUAGAACAGCACUGCAGGGCUUCAAAAGAGAACUGAUAACAGUGAUUGCUCUGAGAAGGGGAAAUGAGUGGCUUUGGGACAGGAAUACUAGGAGCACAA
rnacentral:lncRNA from 10 species